rnacentral:rRNA from 1 species
GACGAACGCUGACGGUGUGCUUUAGACAUGCAAGUCGAGCGAGAAAGCCCUUCGGGGUUAGUAAAGCGGCGAACGGGUGAGUAACACGUGGGCAAUCUGCCCCUCGCAGGGGGACAACCGGGGGAAACUCCGGCUAAUACCCCGUAAGUUUCCAGAGUCGCAUGGCUUUGGAAAGAAAGGUAGCUUCGGCCAUCCGGCGAGGGAUGAGCCCGCGGUACAUUAGCUAGUUGGGUGGGGUAACGGCCUACCAAGGCGCGANGUAUAGCUGGUCUGAGAGGAUGAUCAGCCACACUGGGACUGAGACACGGCCCAGACUCCUACGGGAGGCAGCAGUCGGGAAUCUUGCACAAUGGGCGAAAGCCUGAUGCAGCAACACCGUGUGAGCGAUGAAGGCCCUA